rnacentral:lncRNA from 1 species
UGUGACGGAGGUUAUGAAUAUCUCGUCAAACCCCAUCGUCCGUCAUAUGUCAAAUUUAUACGACUUUCAGUUCGAGAUAUGGAAAACUCUUUUUUCAAAAUAUCUGACCAGAAAUUUAUCGAACUCAGUCUCAUAAAUCACAUAGGAUCACUCCUAAUCUAUCAAGGUCGAUAGAUCCCAUCUAGAUGCAACUCUAUUCCAAAAUGAACCUACUGUAGCCAAUCCGCACUACAAGGAUCCGAAUGGCUAGGGCCAAAGUUCACAUGCUCGUCAAACUAGAACAACGUCAUAGUGAAUAGCCGAGGCAUCGCAAGUCAAAGGACCAGUCAUACAACUGCAGCAUAAGUAGUCACUGACGAGUGGAUAGACAUCCAUGUGACUACUAUCUUUGGUCACACUUAGUACUUUAUUCCCUAACAAGUACUUGCAUAAUCACUCCAGUGUCUCUACACCAUGGACUCGAGACUCGUCCAUCUAACUAAGUGAUCUGUGCACUAAUCUCAGCGGAUCGA